CUCCUCUGGAGAUCUGGGAAGAAAGGGAUGCAAAUAGGCUCUUAACAAGCUCUUCCUCUAAUGCCACCAGAUGUAAGGUAGCUAUCAUAUAAGUCAGUGUUCAACCCUUUAAACAGGUCUUGAGACAU